CUUGAUUUUUUUCUUCUAAUGUUAAUUUUUUAGAGUUUUUUUCCCCAAAAAUGUUCUUUCAAUUUCAGAUCUUAUAUAUCGUGAUUCUUCUUUGUGGGAAAUUUUGAUUUUGGUUUAUUCUUUAUGUUGAUUUUGAAUGUACAUAUGUUGUUUGUGGAUCUUUUUAUUUAUUUAUUUAUUUUGAAUUUGGACAUCAAGUCAUGGUUAAAGAUCGGAAAAACAUCAACGGAAGAACUAGAAGAUCCGGUGAUAAUGAAAUUGAAUAUGAUUUAGCCACUGGUAAUUUUAUCUUUUUUUUUUAAUUUAGUAGGUUAUAAGAUGAUUGCUUAGUCAUGAUUAAUGGUAUUUUUAAGUUUGUUUUGUUGUGGGCGAUGUUUUCUCUUGACUGAAUAUGUAAGUUAUGAGCAGAAUUUCUAACCUGAUCACUAUGACUUCAUAGGUACAGGUUUAAUGCAACGUUCUUCAACAUUUUAAGCUUGAUACCAAUUUAUGUAGUUGGCAAUCUAAAUGGAGGUUGCGAUCGUAAACCAUGACAAUUCGUUUACGACAUAAUAGGAGUAAUGCAUAGAUUGCUAAUUUCCAAUUCUUGUUUAGUACAUGUCAGUAUCUACUACCCAGUACAUAUCAAUAUCUACUAGAUUUAUGUCCAGUACAUAUCAAUUUCUACUAGGUUUUUCGUUUAAUGUUGUAGUGUUGAUAUGCAUUUGUGAACAUUUUUCCUCAACAUUGUCCUCCAAUUCAAAUUUGAACUCUUAUGAUUGAACCUAUAGGAACUUUUAUCGAUUUUACUCAGUAUGUACCAAUAUAUACUAGGCUUCUAGUUCUUAUUCUUCUUUAGUACAUGUGUAUACGUACUGCAAUUUUAUGUUUUGAUUUUGUUUUGUUUUUUUAAAAUUGUUCGCAGACAUAUGAAUUUAUGCAUUUUAUAGGGGUUGUAUCCCACAGUAGCUAUGAACACUUUGGUGAUGAGCUUGUUAAUGCUAAAGAACGAAAAAACUAAUUGAGAUUUACUCCUUUAUUUCCGGACAGGUGCAUUUGUAUGUGUGAUCCAACAAAAUAUAUAUGUUUGGAGAUUUUUCCAGUCAUCUCAAUCUCCAAACUAGAUUAUAUUUUUUAUUUUUCUUAGUUUAUUUGAUGCUUAUAUUUUUGUCCACAACUUCGUCAUUGCAUGUUUAUAUGUAUUGUCUUUUAUCCAUGUACUAUGAAUUUCUCAUAGGAUAUGUAACCCCAGAACUGGUAGCAAUGAAGCAUAAUUUUGUGAAUUUAUCAAGUUUUUUGGAUCAGAUAAUACUGUCAUUAUUGUACUAUGGUUUCACUCAGUGCAUAUCGUUAUGUACUUAGUUUUCACUUUGUACAUAUUGGUAUGUACUAAAAUUACGUUUUAGUACAUAUCGGUAUGUACUAUGGGAUCAUAUAAUUUUUUCUUCUGUACAUAUUAAUAUGUAUUGUUGCACAUAAACUAGAUUUGUGGUGCUAUCCAAACAUAAAUUCGGUUUUUACCCAAUAAUUAAUUAAGAGUUCUUUACAGGGGUCAGGAAAGAAAAACACACCGUCUACUCGUGUACAUGUGAGAUCAUCUUUAUGAUUUUUUUUUGUUGUAUUACCCAUUCUAAAUUAAAAAAAAAGGCAUAUGAUCUGAUCUGAAUAAUUAAAAACUUUAUGAAAAGGUAUUAUUAGAUGUGUUACAUGUUUUUAGUUUAAUUGAGGUUACAUUUGGGUGGACCAUUAUUAGCUAACCAUUAGUGACUUCUAGUGCAGUCUUACUUUCCUUAUCAAGGUCAUCAUCGAUAUCGUCACUAGCAUUUUUGACGUUGAUGAGAAUCAAAUAGAACAAUGGAACAAUACUCUAUAUUCUUUGUGGUCAUCUUGUUGCUAGUCCCACAACCAAAGUUUUGUACGACUCCAUUGAUUGAUUGAUAAUAAUUCUUUUUACGUAUAUUGUUCUUAAUUUUAUUUUAUCUACAAGAAAAAAGUUGUAGUUCCCAAAGAUGGUACGUGAAUGGAUUCCGAUGCUCACAUGCUACUGCGGCAUCGCUACAGCUGGGGGAAAGUUCUUUGAAUACAUCGACGAAUACUUCAAGAUUUAUCAGAGUGGUGCAGCAAAACAAGCUAG